AUUGAACGCUGGCGGCAGGCCUAACACAUGCAAGUCGAACGAGUGGCGGACGGGUGAGUAAUGUCGGGGAAACUGCCUGAAGGCGGGGGAUAACUACUGGAAACGGUGGCUAAUACCGCAAACCAUCAGAUGUGCACAGAUGGGAUUAGCUAGUUGGUGGGGUAACGGUUCACCAAGGCGACGAUCCAUAGCUGGUCUGAGAGGAUGACCGGCCACACUGGAACUGAGACACGGUCCAGACUCCUACGGGAGGCAGCAGUGGGGAAUAUUGCACAAUGGGCGCAAGCCUGAUGCAGCCAUGCCGCGUGGAUGAAGAAGGCCUUCGGGUUGUAAAGUACUGUCAGCGGGGAGGCGUUACCCGCAGAAGAAGCACCGGCUAACUCCGUGCCAGCAGCCGCGGUAAUAC
rnacentral:rRNA from 1 species